rnacentral:rRNA from 1 species
GACGAACGCUGGCGGCGUGCUUAACACAUGCAAGUCGAACGGAAAGGCCCUGCUUUUGUGGGGUGCUCGAGUAGCGAACGGGUGAGUAACACGUGAGUAACCUGCCCUUGACUUUGGGAUAACUUCAGGAAACUGGGGCUAAUACCGGAUAGGAGCUCCUGCUGCAUGGUGGGGGUUGGAAAGUUUCGGCGGUUGGGGAUGGACUCGCGGCUUAUCAGCUUGUUGGUGGGGUAGUGGCUUACCAAGGCUUUGACGGGUAGCCGGCCUGAGAGGGUGACCGGCCACAUUGGGACUGAGAUACGGCCCAGACUCCUACGGGAGGCAGCAGUGGGGAAUAUUGCACAAUGGGCGGAAGCCUGAUGCAGCAACGCCGCGUGCGGGAUGACGGCCUUCGGGUUGUAAACCGCUUUCGCCUGUGACGAAGCGUGAGUGACGGUAAUGGGUAAAGAAGCACCGGCUAACUACGUG